rnacentral:tRNA from 1 species
UCCGAUAUAGUGUACGGCCUAUCACAUCACGCUUUCACCGUGGAGACCGGGGUUCGACUCCCCGUAUCGGAG